rnacentral:rRNA from 1 species
ACAGCAGCAGCCGCGGGAAAACGGAGGGUGCAAGCGUUAAUCGGAAUUACUGGGCGUAAAGCGCACGCAGGCGGUCUGACAAGUCAGAUGUGAAAUCCCCGGGCUUAACCUGGGAACUGCAUUUGAAACUGUCAGGCUGGAGUCUUGUAGAGGGGGGUGGAAUUCCAGGUGUAGCGGUGAAAUGCGUAGAGAUCUGGAGGAAUACCGGUGGCGAAGGCGGCCCCCUGGACAAAGACUGACGCUCAGGUGCGAAAGCGUGGGGAGCAAACAGGAUUAGAUACCCCGGUAGUCCCUGUCUCUUAUAC